rnacentral:misc_RNA from 1 species
GAAGAAGAAGAAGGAGAAGGAGAAUGAUGUCUUGCGUUGGAUUGCACUUUCAAAUGAUGCAGAGAAUGAGCAAGAAAGCAGAUGGUACUAUUUUGUUAUAGAAUUAUGUUUGACCACUUUUAAAACAACAGAAUAUGUGAGGAAUGAAAUGCUUCUGGAAUUAGAUCAUUAAUAUAAGAUAGUUUUAGGCCUUAAAAAGGAAAGAACACGUAGAGGAACUGGCUUUGGUAAUUUGGCUAAUAUGUGGCUUCAAGUUUUGGUAGUAUAUCCAUAUUGGCAAUUGGUAUCUCCACAUAAUGCAUAAAAAUUUGUCAAUUAUUUAAGCUUUGCCCACUAUAAGAACACUAGUAAAUUAUGUGACAAACAAAAAAACUCAAGAAAGAGAAAGAUGAUAGGUCAAAUAAGUUAUAUUUUGGUCUAGAUUCACUAUGGGCUUAUUUGCCAUCUAAUGAAGUCUUUGAUAGUCAUGCUUGCGUUUUAAAUUAUGCUUAUUCAAGUCAAUAUUUUUCUGGUUUAUUAUUUAUAUGUUUUUCUUUGACUUUGUAGAUCAAGGGUAUUUAUGCACUUUUUCUUAUUUGCUUACUAGGCAAAAAUAAGAGUUCAAAUUUCUUCUUUUAGGUUUAAGUGUUUCUUUAAUGCUUGUCCUUCAUUUAUUUUUUCGCAGUCAAAGCAAUAAGUUUUAUGCUUAAUAGUCCAUUUAUUUUUAGUGACAAUUAUGCUAAGGAGGAAAAAUUUGAGAAGAUUUUUACUUUGUUUGGAAAAGGGGUAAAUGGGGGAAGAAGAUUCUCCUAUGAGGUGCACUAGAAUUUUCCUCCCAAACACGGGAGGAAAGUGAAGUGAAAAUGGGUGAUAUUACUCAAUUGCUCCUAAUAAAAUAUUUUACUUAACAAAAAUGGAGGACAUAAUUGUCAUUGUACAAUUAAUGAAACAUAGUUGUUUUACUUUUGAUGCUUCGCAUUUUUCGCAGAAAUCCAAACAAAAAGAUUGAAAAUAAAUUUCACUUAAUUUUCUUUUCUUUGUGUUCUUUCCUCCACUUUCACUCCUCCCAUCUUUUACUUCCAAACAUAGUGUAAAUGAAGAACAUAUGUAUGUGGGAUUUGCUCAUAGUUGUUGAAUGCAGAAGGUGCUUUGGAGGUCUGGCACAAGGGGAACAAGAAAAGGAUUUGCAAGCAAAACUCAAACUUAAUCCAAAUAUAUAAUAAAUUCAAGACAUUAGUACUAUAUAACCAAAUUGAGCAAAGGUAGUUGUAUUCAGAGCAUGAAUCUAGAGUUAACUAUCUAAUCAGAGGAAAAAGAACAUAAAAUGAAUGUAGACUUAAUAAAUAAAAUAAUAAUUCUUUGUCACUUGUUUUAUUGAUAAACAAAAACUAGAAAUGAAUAUCCUGGUCUGUAACAGGAUUUUCCAAGAAUAUAACAAUGGAACAAGGAUAUUUCUUAAAAUUAAUCUCCAACUUUACUUACCACAAAAUAUUCCAAGUUGAAGCAUUAUUAAGGACAUUUUUGGGAAGAAAAGCACUGACAAAUAAUAUUCAACAUACUGUGAAUUUGGUUGAUGAGCAUGGAGGCACCGCAAAAGUUAGUAGUUAGCGAGGAAAGCUAAUAAACCUGAGCAACAAGAACCAAGUCCAAGGACAAGAAAUUUGAGAAAGUGGUGUAAUUGUUUGUGGUAGAAGUCAAUGAAUGGGUUACUGAUGCAGGAUUUACUACAGAUCUAGGACAACUAGACUGUCUACUUCAGAAGGAAAUAUGAGCAGCAGUGUUUUAUCCUCAUCAGGAAUUUUGCGUGAUUUGGGAUUCCUAAUUACUUUUGGAUUAAUAUUUUCUUUGUUUAGGGUGCCAAAUCCUUGUACUAGUAGGAUUACAAAUGUUAUAUCUAUAUAUAUAUGAGAAGCAUAGUUAUGAAUAAACUUACACUUGUAGCACUUUGAAGAAUCAUUCUAGUAUACGAAUAUUAAUGGGCAUAAUAAAUAAUUAAAGAACCUAAAUUGAAGUUAUAUUUUAAUUUAGUUUCUUUCUCAAUUAAUUUAUUUGGUUAUAUUUUUUAUUUCUAAAAUUAUUAUCAAAAUGAAUUUUAGGUUACGUUUGGUAGAGCGUAACGUAAUGUAAUCUUAUCAAUUAAAG